AUAACUUUUAGAAUGUAUUUUUUUCUGUCAACUUUCAUUUAACACUCCAGUCCAGUUGGUGGCAGUAAUGCGCUUUCAUAGUCGGUCAAGCAGCCGCCGUUAAAGUCCAGAGGAAGAUUUGCACUGGUGGUAACGAGUGUUAACUGCCUACACCCAACAUAAAGGAAAAUACCCGUGCGUUGUGUGAAAUGGUGGAAAAGUCCUAUUUCAUGGAGUUACCUUUUCAGUACCGUUUUGAUAUUAAGCAAUGUUCCGGCGGAAAACAACAGAUGACACCGCGGCGGUCCAACAAGACCGAACUCACGACCUGAAAAAUGGCCAAGCCGUACCAACCAGACCUCAGACCACGGUGCCGAGGAGUCCACCAGGACGAACAGAAAUUCAUACAGCAAGGCAGAGUGUGGAAAGCAGUAAAGAUCUACAAAAUGGCGUACGGAGGACGGAUAUGAGGACAAAGUCAUGAAGCCGGUAUGUAUAAUCACUGCGUUGAUUCCCGACUGUAUAAUGGUUGGUUGAGAAUAAUUUUAACUUAUUUACUUAUGUAUUUUUGAGAAAGCGAUAUAUUUGCUACAAUA